GACGAACGCUGGCGGCGUGCCUAAUACAUGCAAGUUGAGCGCUGAAGGUUGGUACUUGAACCGACUGGAUGAGCAGCGAACGGGUGAGUAACGCGUGGGGAAUCUGCCUUUGAGCGGGGGACAACAUUUGGAAACGAAUGCUAAUACCGCAUAAAAACUUUAAACACAAGUUUUAAGUUUGAAAGAUGCAAUUGCAUCACUCAAAGAUGAUCCCGCGUUGUAUUAGCUAGUUGGUGAGGUAAAGGCUCACCAAGGCGAUGAUACAUAGCCGACCUGAGAGGGUGAUCGGCCACAUUGGGACUGAGACACGGCCCAAACUCCUACGGGAGGCAGCAGUAGGGAAUCUUCGGCAAUGGACGAAAGUCUGACCGAGCAACGCCGCGUGAGUGAAGAAGGUUUUCGGAUCGUAAAACUCUGUUGGUAGAGAAGAACGUUGGUGAGAGUGGAAAGCUCAUCAAGUGACGGUAACUACCCAGAAAGGGACGGCUAACUACGUG
rnacentral:rRNA from 1 species